GCCGGGUGUAGUGGCGCAUGCCUGUAGUCCCAGCUACUCGGGAGGCUGAGGCAGGAGAAUCGCUUGAACCCAGGAGGCAGAGGUUGCGGUGAGCUGAGAUCGUGCCAUUGCACUCCAGCCUGGGCAAGAGUGAAAUUCCGUCUCAGAAAAAAAAAAAUGGAAAUGGAACUCACAAGAAGGAACAGAGUCUUGCUCUUGUUGCCCAGGCUGGAGUGCAGUGGCGCGAUCUCGGCUCACUUCAACCGCUGACUGACGGUUCAAGUGAUUCUCCUGCCUCAG
ensembl:misc_RNA Metazoa_SRP Metazoan signal recognition particle RNA